CCUGCCCUUGACUUUGGGAUAACUUCAGGAAACUGGGGCUAAUACCGGAUAGGAGCUCCUGCUGCAUGGUGGGGGUUGGAAAGUUUCGGCGGUUGGGGAUGGACUCGCGGCUUAUCGGCUUGUUGGUGGGGUAGUGGCUUACCAAGGCUUUGACGGGUAGCCGGCCUGAGAGGGUGACCGGCCACAUUGGGACUGAGAUACGGCCCAG
rnacentral:rRNA from 1 species